CUAGAACAUCCUUAGCUGCUCUUCUUGGAGAACCUCUGGUUCUGUUCAUUACUGCAGAAUAUGAAGCAAAAGAUAACCAUUGAGGCGAACAUUUGGUGUGACAAAUGUCGGUCCAAGGCCAUGAAAAUAGCUGCUGUAGAAGAUGGUGUUAAAUCAGUGGCUUUCAAGGGGGCAAGGAGAGACCAAAUAGAGAUAAUCGGAGACGAUGUUGAUGCAACGGGAUUGACCGGAUUGCUGAGGAAGAAGCUCGGCUAUGCAGACUUAGUGAG